rnacentral:sRNA from 1 species
UUUUAACUGAUAUGAUUAUAGAUUGAUAUCCUACUAUAUUAUUUGGGAAGUACAUUUUAAAUGUAACCUUAUUUUUUGUAAGUAAUUACAUAGGUAUGCCAUUAGAAAUAAAAUUUAAAUAGU